AACGAACGCUGGCGGCAUGCCUAACACAUGCAAGUCGAACGAGACCUUCGGGUCCAGUUGCGCACGGGUUCGUAACGCGAGGGAACCGGCCCUUAGGGUCGGAAUAACUUCCCGAAGGGGGCGCUAAUACCGGAUAAUGUCUUCGGACCAAUGAUUUAUCGGCUCAGGAUGGGCCCGCGUUGGAUUAGCGAGUUGGUUACGUAAAAGCCUACCAAGGCGACGAUGCAUAGCUGGUCUGAGAGCAUGACCAGAAACCCUGGGACUGGGACACGGCCCAGACGCUUGCGGGAGGCCGCAAGGGGGAAUAUGGGACAAUGGGCGAGAGCCGAAGCCUGCCAGGCCGCGUGAGUCAUUAAGGCCUUAGGAUUGUAAGGCUCUGUUGAACGGGAAGAUAAUGACAGUACCGGGAGAAUAAGCGCCGGCUAACUACGUG
rnacentral:rRNA from 1 species